GACAUUCUACUGAUUUUCUUGAACUUAAUGGUGUCUGGUUCUCUGCUGGAAGGGGUGGAAGUAGCUGGAUUUGCUUCGUACUGUAGCCGUCAAGCUGCUGUCGAUAUCCAGUCCCGGUCCGGGUGGUGCAUCGGUGGCGGCCGCACUGGGCCGCCGCCCCCCAACUGAAAGGCCUCCUAUAGGUAUGUGUACGUAUUAGUAUAUGCAUACAUACAGUUUACUAAUAGAGUUGGCCCAAGACAGUAUUCCGAUGAAGUUCCUAUCCACUUCGAUCACCCAGCCUGCGAUUAAUUUCCAGGCCUGCCUGAUGGCCUGAUUGUUGUUUUCUCUUACGCAUAUUGCAUCGCCGACUGCAUCUUCAGCGUCGCCUUUUCCAGAUUGUUGUUUUCUCUUACGCAUAUUGCAUCGUCGACUGCAUCUUCAGCGUCGCCUUUUCCAGAUCGCCGGAUCGUCCUCAUCAACCACGGCAGCCGGCAGGCAGGCUAUCGCGAGCACGCACGUCGACUCUUUACGGCUGUGCAUAGUCAAUAAGUCAAGUGUAUAUUAGUAAAGUGAAUACAUAUCAGGUGAACUGCCAAUCCAAUCUGCUAAUUUAUGCUCAUUUUUAACCUUUAUGCUAAUUUCUAAUUUUUAAUUUAUCUAGUUUGGUUCAAUUUCAGCACCAUUUAACGUCGUCAUCUCCAACCUUUAUGAUAUUUCUUAAAGUUAUAUGUAUAAACUAUAUACUAAGGGCCCAAGUAUCUCCAGCCCCCGCGAAAUCUCAGGACCGGGCCUGUCGAUAUCUGUCAAGUUCUGGCUCGUUCUAGCCUGGAAUGCUUUUC
rnacentral:lncRNA from 1 species